rnacentral:rRNA from 1 species
GUACACACCGCCCGUCAAGCCACGAAAGUGGGGUGCGCCCGAAGUCGCCGAGCUAACCCGCAAGGGAGGCAAGCGCCGAAGGUGAACUCCGCGAUUGGGACUAAGUCGUAACAAGGUAGCCGUAGGUGAACCUGCAGAAGGAUCA